rnacentral:rRNA from 1 species
AGGGUGUAAACGCUGCGGGCUUGGUGUUGGGGGUCCUUAGUGGGCGCCCAGUGCCGGAGAGAAGUUGUUAAGCCUGCUGCUUGGGGAGUAUGUCCGCAAGGAUGAAACUUAAAGGAAUUGGCGGGGGAGCACAGCAACGGGAGGAGCGUGCGGUUCAAUUGGAUUCAACGCCGAAAAACUCACCAGGAGCGACGGAUAUAUGAAGGUCAAGCUGAUGACUUUACCUGAUUUCCGAGAGGUGGUGCAUGGCG